rnacentral:rRNA from 1 species
GGAGUUCGGUCCGUGUCUCAGUACCGAUGUGUGGGAUCUUCCUUUUAGAACCCAUAGGCAUCAUCGUCUUGGUGGGCCGUUACCCCGCCAACUAACUAAUGCCACGCAUGCCCAUCUGUAACCUAUGAAUAUUUAACUUUAUACCCAUGCAGUUAUAAAGUACUAUCGGGUUUUAAUCAUCCUUUCGGUUGGCUAUCCCCGUGUUACAGGUAGGUUGCAUACGCGUUACUCACCCGUCCGCCGCUCGCCACCAAUGUAUUGCUACACCGUGCUGCCGCUCGACUUGCAUGUGUUAGGCCUGCCGCUAGCGUUUAUC